rnacentral:sRNA from 1 species
GGUUUUUGUCAAAAACGAAAGUGGCCGCAUCCGUGUUCAUCCUCAAUCUUUAUAUAUAUUAUGUAUUAUCAUCAAAUACAACUUCCAUUUCAAUAUUUUGGAUGAACACGAAUGCGGCCACUUCGUUUUACACGGAAACC